rnacentral:rRNA from 1 species
GACGAACGCUGGCGGCGUGCUUAACACAUGCAAGUCGAACGGAAAGGCCCUGCUUUUGUGGGGUGCUCGAGUGGCGAACGGGUGUGUAACACGUGAGUAACCUGCCCUUGACUUUGGGAUAUCUUCAGGAAACUGGGGCUAAUACCGGAUAGGAGCUCCUGCUGCAUGGUGGGGGUUGGAAAGUUUCGGCGGUUGGGGCUGGACUCGCGGCUUAUCAGCUUGUUGGUGGGGUAGUGGCUUACCAAGGCUUUGACGGGUAGCCGGCCUGAGAGGGUGACCGGCCACAAUGGGACUGAGAUACGCACCAGAAUCCUACGGGAGGCAGCAGUGGGGAAUAUUGCACAAUGGGCGGGAGCCUGAUGCAGCAACGCCGCGUGCGGGAUGACGGCCUUCGGGUUGUAAACCGCUUUCGACUGUGACGAAGCGUGAGUGACGGUAAUGGGUAAAGAAGCACCGGCUAACUACGUG